ACAGGUGGUGCAAACAGUUAAUGCACUUGGCUGCCAACCAAAAGGGUGGAGGUUCGAGUCCACCCAGAGGUG
rnacentral:tRNA from 1 species